rnacentral:lncRNA from 10 species
GCGCCCGCUCGCGCCGGGAGGGGCCCUCGCGCCCCGCGCCCACAGGUGCACGCGCCCUUGGCGCCGCCUGCACCCCACGCGCCCCCUCCGCUCCCCGGCCGACGGCCCACCUGGGCUUCGUGAACAGUGGGAGGGAGAGUCUGGGGCCAGGAGAGGGACGGUGCAGGAUCAGGGAAAGGUGGAAAUCAGAAGUACAUGCAAUAGGAAUUAACUUGAAUAUGAUGCAUAAAGUUUGAAGCAAAGAAAGAUCUGCUGAGCAUGCCUGAGCUGAGAAAUGAGGGAAGGCAGACAUAUGUAUGAGCGCCUAUGCAGAGAGGCUCUCCCUCUGUCACCCAGGCUGGAAUGCAGUGGCAUGAUCUUGGCUCACUGCAGACUUCGCCUCCGAAUUCAUGUGAUUCUCCCACCUCAGCCUCCUGAGUAGCUGGGAUUACAGGU